AUUGAACGCUGGCGGCAUGCUUUACACAUGCAAGUCGAGCGGUAACAGGCCGCAAGGUGCUGACGAGUGGCGAACGGGUGAGUAAUGCAUCGGAACGUGCCCAGUCGUGGGGGAUAACGCAGCGAAAGCUGCGCUAAUACCGCAUACGAUCUAUGGAUGAAAGCGGGGGACCGUAAGGCCUCGCGCGAUUGGAGCGGCCGAUGUCAGAUUAGGUAGUUGGUGGGGUAAAAGCCUACCAAGCCUACGAUCUGUAGCUGGUCUGAGAGGACGACCAGCCACACUGGGACUGAGACACGGCCCAGACUCCUACGGGAGGCAGCAGUGGGGAAUUUUGGACAAUGGGCGCAAGCCUGAUCCAGCCAUGCCGCGUGCGGGAAGAAGGCCUUCGGGUUGUAAACCGCUUUUGCCAGGGAAGAAAUCUUCUGGGUUAAUACCUCGGGAGGAUGACGGUACCUGGAGAAUGAGCACCGGCUAACUACGUGCCAGCCGCCGCGGUAAGAC
rnacentral:rRNA from 1 species